GAGCGCAGCAUACGGGAUGAGAUCAAGAAGACAGUCCCUCCAUGUGUCUCAAGGAGUCUGGAGCCUAUGGCAGGCCAACUGAGCAACUCAGUGGCUACCAAGCUCACAGCUGUGGAGGGCAGCAUGAAAGAGAACAUCUCCAAGCUGCUCAAGUCCAAGAACUUGACUGAUGCCAUCGCCCGAGCAGCUGCAGACACAUUACAAGGGCCGAUGCAGGCUGCCUACCGGGAAGCCUUCCAGAGUGUGGUGCUGCCGGCCUUUGAGAAGAGCUGCCAGGCCAUGUUCCAGCAAAUCAAUGAUAGCUUCCGGCUGGGGACACAGGAAUACUUGCAGCAGCUAGAAAGCCACAUGAAGAGCCGGAAGGCACGGGAACAGGAGGCCAGGGAGCCUCUGCUAGCCCAGCUGCGGGGCCUGGUCAGCACACUGCAGAGUGCUACUGAGCAGAUGGCAGCCACCGUGGCCGGCAGUGUUCGUGCUGAGGUGCAGCACCAGCUGCAUGUGGCUGUGGGCAGGUGUGUGGGCAGAGUACUGGGCAAGGUGGUGGGCUUGAGAAAGGCCAGACUAGGCUCC
rnacentral:sRNA from 1 species